UGAGUAAUGUCUGGGAAACUGCCUGAUGGAGGGGGAUAACUACUGGAAACGGUAGCUAAUACCGCAUAACGUCGCAAGACCAAAGAGGGGGACCUUCGGGCCUCUUGCCAUCAGAUGUGCCCAGAUGGGAUUAGCUAGUAGGUGGGGUAACGGCUCACCUAGGCGACGAUCCCUAGCUGGUCUGAGAGGAUGACCAGCCACACUGGAACUGAGACACGGUCCAGACUCCUACGGGAGGCAGCAGUGGGGAAUAUUGCACAAUGGGCGCAAGCCUGAUGCAGCCAUGCCGCGUGUAUGAAGAAGGCCUUCGGGUUGUAAAGUACUUUCAGCGGGGAGGAAGGUGUUGUGGUUAAUAACCGCAGCAAUUGACGUUACCCGCAGAAGAAGCACCGGCUAACUCCGUGCCAGCAGCCGCGGUAAUACGGAGGGUGCAAGCGUUAAUCGGAAUUACUGGGCGUAAAGCGCACGCAGGCGGUCUGUCAAGUCGGAUGUGAAAUCCCCGGGCUCAACCUGGGAACUGCAUUCGAAACUGGCAGGCUAGAGUCUUGUAGAGGGGGGUAGAAUUCCAGGUGUAGCGGUGAAAUGCGUAGAGAUCUGGAGGAAUACCGGUGGCGAAGGCGGCCCCCUGGACAAAGACUGACGCUCAG
rnacentral:rRNA from 1 species